UUCUCUAUAAGAGAAAGUAAGGGCAUUAUGGAAAAUUGACUCCAUCUAAUUAAUAAAAGUCCCAUCCCUCUAUCUCCCCUACAAGUGAGUACCCAAGCAGCAACCGCAACAUCACAGCACAGCAGCCAUUCAACCCCCUCCCUCCUUCUCUCUCUACCACCCAAGGGGGGAGAAGAAACCGAGAGGAGAAAAUUAAAAGAAUCUCCACACUCCA
rnacentral:lncRNA from 1 species